CAGCUUCAGAGCACACCUUACUCUAGGUGUUCUCUGUCAACAAUAGCUACAGUACAGUCAACCACUGUUUACAGCUUCAGAGCACACCUUACUCUAGGUGUUCUCUGUCAACAAUAGCUACAGUACAGUCAAC